rfam:Gossypium raimondii Chr04_contig_1411, whole genome shotgun sequence.
UGUUUAAAAUUCCAUCCAUUGCUACUGUUAAAAAUCGACGUGGUUGACAAAAUAACCAAACAAUUCCACGUGGUGUACCACGUGCACCUCAUGUUGGCAUACAAUGACUAGUUUUUAAUAGUAGAAAUUGAUGAAUUUUUUAACA